rnacentral:piRNA from 1 species
UCAAGGGUUGUGGGACUUCAGAAGAGA